GGGUCCAUCCUAAUCCCUGCCGGUCAGCCUGUGGCCUGGUGGGUUCCGCCUGUAGACCAGCACACUCUAGAAGCCUCACCCAGAGAAGUGGGCAAAUCCUCAGUAGGCUUGUGCCAGGGGUGCUUCUAGUCACUC